rnacentral:rRNA from 1 species
UACGUAGGUGACAAGCGUUGUCCGGAUUUACUGGGCGUAAAGAGCGCGCAGGCGGUCGAUCAAGUCGAGUGUGAAAGCCCCCGGCUCAACUGGGGAGGGUCAUUCGAUACUGAUCGACUCGAAGGCAGGAGAGGGUAGUGGAAUUCCUGGUGUAGCGGUGAAAUGCGCAGAUAUCAGGAGGAACACCGGUGGCGAAGGCGCCACUCUGGGCCGGUACUGACGCUGAGGAGCGAAAGCGUGGGGAGCAAACAGG